rnacentral:rRNA from 1 species
UACGUAGGGUGCGAGCGUUGUCCGGAAUUAUUGGGCGUAAAGAGCUCGUAGGCGGUGUGUCACGUCGAUCGUGAAAACUUACAGCUUAACUGUGAGCGUGCGGUCGAUACGGGCAUCACUGGAGUUCGGCAGGGGAGACUGGAAUUCCUGGUGGAGCGGUGAAAUGCGUAGAGAUCGGAAAGAACACCAACGGCGAAAGCACUCUGCUGGGCCGACACUGACACUGAGAGACGAAAGCUAGGGGAGCGAAUGGG